rnacentral:rRNA from 1 species
GAUGAACGCUGGCGGCGUGCCUAAUACAUGCAAGUCGAACGAGCUCUUCGGAGCUAGUGGCGGACGGGUGAGUAACACGUUGGUACCUACCCCGAAGUGGGGAAUAACUGGCCGAAAGGUCGGCUAAUACCGCAUAAUACCGUAAGGUUAAAGCAGUAAUGCGCUUCGGGAGGGGCCUGCGUCCCAUUAGCUUGUUGGUAGUGUAAUGGACUACCAAGGCGACGAUGGGUAGCUGGAUCGAGAGGUUGACCAGCCACACUGGGACUGAGAUACGGCCCAGACUCCUACGGGAGGCAGCAGUAAGGAAUCUUCCACAAUGGACGAAAGUCUGAUGGAGCAACGCCGCGUGCAGGAUGACGGCCUUCGGGUUGUAAACUGCUUUUAUAUGGGAAGAUUAUGACGGUACCAUAUGAAUAAGGACCGGCUAACUACGUGCCAGCCGCCGCAGUAA